AAACGUUACUUCUGGAUCAGGAAUGACAAAUGCCUUAUUCUUGCGAGUGAUGGUUUAUGGGAUGUCAUGACAAAUGAAGAAGCUUGUGAUAUGGCUCGUAAACGUAUACUCAUGUGGCAUAAAAAGUACGGUGCAACGCUCCCCGUGGAAAGAGGUGAAGGAAUUGAUCCAGCAUCACAGGCAGCAGCAGAAUGCUUGUCGAAUCGAGCUCUUCAGAAGGGCAGCAAGGACAACAUAACAGUGAUUGUUGUGGACUUGAAAGCCCAAAGGAAGUUUAAGAGCAAAACCUAACACAACUGAUCUCUCAAUCAGCAGCUGUUUCCAUUUAUAGGUUCACAAUAUUGAUGAAGACUUCAUAUGAUUCGAU
rnacentral:misc_RNA from 1 species